UACGGGGGGGGGCAAGCGUUGUUCGGAAUUACUGGGCGUAAAGGGCUCGUAGGUGGCCAACUAAGUCAGACGUGAAAUCCCUCGGCUUAACCGGGGAACUGCGUCUGAUACUGGAUGGCUUGAGUUCGGGAGAGGGAUGCGGAAUUCCGGUGUAGCGGUGAAAUGCGUAGAUAUCUGGAGGAACACCGGUGGCGAAGGCGGCAUCCUGGACCGACACUGACACUGAGGAGCGAAAGCCAGGGGAGCAAACGGG
rnacentral:rRNA from 1 species